rnacentral:lncRNA from 1 species
AGAUUUUUGCUCCUAUUGCCGUGUACAGUAUGUCACAGGCUUGCGGAGCCUGUCAUUGUUCUUAGUGUGUUGUUGUGAUUCUUGAACGGUGUCAAUGGUCGUGUACAGGUGUCUUUUGUAGUAUAAAAAGGGCCAGUAUCAGCCGUAGGAUUUGGAUUCAUGCUGUGAAGAUCAUGAAUAUAUAUCUUAUUUUGCUGUUCUAUGCCUCAUUCGUGUACAGAUUCCCUAGCAGUAUUUUUUUCGUCUGCCACUUGCGACUGCCGGGUUCCUGAUGUGCUUCUCAUGCCCCGCAGACCAUUGACCUAUUCGUGGUUUUCGACGUGGCCACUGCCCUACUUCAGGUAAAAUUUCACACUUUGAUGAGGAUUCAUGAGCCCUGAUUUGGGAUAGACAAGUGUAGCAUACUGAGUUCAGGAAAUCAAUUAUGCGGCACGACACCUAUUAGGUGAUUCGUGAACACACAACCAGGAUGAUUCCUAUCCUACCUAUGCUAUGCUUAUUGCUUCCAAGCUAGUGAUGGCGGUCGCAGGUGCAGUACCUGCUGGUUAGUACGUGCUGGUUGUUACUAUCGCUGGCAGUUAGUGUUCAACAUCUAUCGCUUUAGCACCAAGCGACUAAACAAUGUUUUGGUAAAGCUUUCAGAAAUUAGUUUGCAGUGUUGAAUCAGUACACAUCUUUUACCUUCAAUUUGGUAGUAUGAAAAACACAUUAGUAAAUCUGAGUAACUUUGACAUAUUUUCUCUAUUAACUUGCACUGGAUUGGUACCCGUGAUUGCCUUGUACUUAAUUCUGCUAACACUGAUCUUGUUACUGUUAAUUUGUUAUUGCCAUGGUGUUUAUGCUGUUUAGAAUAAGAUCCAUGCAUCAAUUCUAAGUUCUCGUCUCUCUGAAGGGACACUUCUAGCCUAAGAAGCACGGACACGGGGACCGAAAGACGGGGAUACGCAUACGGGGAUACGGGAUACGGCAUUUUCCAAAAACAGCCAUUCGGGGAUACGGCGAGUAUAUAUAUAAUAAAAUAAAAAUAUCGCAUGUAAUAUAGAAUUAAGACAGAAAGUUAAUAAGAAAGAAAUCUUUUUUGCCAAGUCCUUGAUUGAUCCUCAUCCCCCAAUGUCAUGUUGUCAUUGCAAGCUGCAUCCAUCUUGCAAAACAUAUCAAACACAAACAGUAAAGAAGGUUAGAGGACAAGACAUACUUGAAAGAUUAAAGGACAAGACAUACUUGAAGCAACAUGGAGCAGCAGCGCAAGCAUUCAACCCAGCAGCACAAGAUAGCAAGCAACAUCCAGGAUCCAGCAGCUUAAUGGAAGAAAUAUGAUGAAUAAAAGAGGAAGAGGUUGAGAAAUAGGAGGGGCUGUUGGGUUACCUGCGAGGCUACACCUGAGAGUAAAGGCUGCUGGUGCUGGGGCUAGCGGUCGCCGAAUCCAGGUGUCGCCGGCGGCGGCGGCUCGUUCAGUACAACCUGGGAGGGAGCACCUAGUCCUCAUGACGAGAGCGUGCGGGAGACAUAUAGGGUUUGGUAUUGGGUUGGGCCGAGGUUGGUUUUGGGCUGGGCCGUGUCCCAAACGUGUCCCAGACGUGUCCCACCGUAUCCCUGUAUUUUUUUUCCUUUUUAUUAAUCAAAAAUCAUGGGACACGGCUUAGUUCGCGUAUCCCGGCGUAUCCCAGCGUAUCCCCGUAUCCUGCCGUAUCAGGACGACAGUUCAGCUGAUUCUGGCGUGUCCAUGCUUUUUAGCUUCUAGCUUCUAUGACUCGGACUUGUUAACUAUUGUUUCUUACUUUGUUAGCUACGACAUAUAUUUUCCCCAGUUAUUCUAAUUCUUCUCUGAUUCAUGUAACAGGAUGACAGUGGAAGCCAUGUUGUUGUUUUGUUUGUUCCCAGCCCUGACUAUGGUCGUCGAGCGAGUCCGGCAUGUUGUUCAUCUAGUAGAGCUUGUUAGGAGUCUGAAUUUAAGAACUUGUAGAGCUUGUUAGUAUUACAAUUGUAGAGCUUGUUACACUUGUAGAUCUUGUAAAGCAGUAUGGUCUUCUGUAUUGGAAUGGAUAGAGCUUGUAUUAUGUGAUCUGGUUGCUCUUAUUUAAGUAUCAUGUGUGUUUUUGUCUCCGAAAAUCUAAAUAAUGCUU